CAUCGAUCUACGCCGUGUCCCGCCGCGGAAACCCGACGGAGAUGAAUACCAAAUUCAGAUUCAGUCGAUGAUCGAGUAAGUCAUUGCACCACCGGCGUAACAUUAUCUGGAGUCUGCGCAUUGGUUCAGCUAGCUUGAGCUCUGGAUUCCAAACUGGAACAAGAGCUUUAACUCCAGAGUAUGAACAAGUCCAUUGGUCUUCUACAAGAGAGAGUUUGAACUUUGAAUAAUGAGGAGAAACAACAAGGGGUUAAAUUCUGCUGCCACUUUCUUCCUCUUUUAGGUUUCAGGAUUGUUUGGUAAUUCGAUAAACUUUCUUGAAGUUUUUAGAAUUGUAUCUCUAGGUUCUUCAGUUAGUUUUAACAAGUGGAAUUUAGAGUUUUCUGUCUUUAACCUCGUUACCUGAAUCUAAUGUAAUUAUGUCAGCUUUUACUUUAAUAAACUGAUUAAGCUUUAUAACUCUUCUCUUAUGAUUAUGGAAUUCUAGUUUCGUUAAUUGAUUGUACCAGUUUCUCGAAGAUGCAGAUUUUUUGAUGAAAGGUUUAAGGUUAGUGUUGCUUUUUAAUGGUAUUGUUUUCACACAAUAUGAGAGAUUUACUAGUGAUCGUUGUUUUUUUUGUUUUCAAGAAAGCAUUGCUACUCGUCUUAAUCUUUCCCUUGGAUUUCGUUUUCGAUUAUCAAUUGAGCAUGUGCAGCUAAUAGUUUCACAGAACUGUUUGUUUUUUUGCCUUAACUCGUUUGUUUCUUCGUCUUUACUCGUUUGUUUCUUCGGUCUUCCUGGAAUUUGAAAUUGGUAGACAAGGUCCAAUGUGUUGUGCAUUUACUGAGUCACAUUCUCUCACAUUUUGUGGGUCAUAGAAUUAGAUUGGACGACCCUUAUUUCAUUAUCACCUACCUGUUUAUUGCUUCUGCACGUGCAUGGUGGAUUUGAGAUUACAAUGUGGAAAGUGACUUGAGAAUCACAUCUACGUGAGUGCGGUCCUCUCCUAGCAAGCUGCCAGCUAAAACUCUUUGUUGUUUUCUGCUCCCAAUUCAUUAUGCCUCAAUAAUCUAAAACUUUUCGGUCAUUUUCGAACACUUAACUGUAUUAUUGAUACAAAUUACCAGCUUUGACUUUCUAAGACUCUUCGUUUGUUUGAUAGAUACAUUUCUAUAUACUGUUGUGAAAGAAGCUACAUGGUUCUCACUGCGUUGAAAGGUGGAGAAGAAUAUUACAAACAGAAAAAAGAAUCAUGUGAAGGUAUUGGUAUUGAAAGCAGCAUGAGUCUUUGUUAAUAGGCUAAGCUAUGGUGUGUUAGCUACUUUGGGGCCACACCUAUGGAACAAUCUGAUGCAGAUUGGAAUACAUGUUUCCCGUUUGUGUUAGAACGGAGUAUAUGUGUAAAAGCUGCAUGAUUCUUGGUGCUCCUUGGAGGCUGAUGAGUGCUAGGCCAUGAGGAUGCAUCAGAAGUCAUUGAGUCAUCGCUUUCAUUGUUACUACUAUCAUCAUCAUCGUCAUCAUCAU
rnacentral:sRNA from 1 species